rnacentral:rRNA from 1 species
GACGAACGCUGGCGGCGUGCCUAAUACAUGCAAGUCGAACGCUUUUUCUUUCACCGGAGCUUGCUCCACCGAAAGAAAAAGAGUGGCGAACGGGUGAGUAACACGUGGGUAACCUGCCCAUCAGAAGGGGAUAACACUUGGAAACAGGUGCUAAUACCGUAUAACACUAUUUUCCGCAUGGAAGAAAGUUGAAAGGCGCUUUUGCGUCACUGAUGGAUGGACCCGCGGUGCAUUAGCUAGUUGGUGAGGUAACGGCUCACCAAGGCAACGAUGCAUAGCCGACAGGAGAGGGGGAUCGGCCAUACUGGGACGGAGACACGGCCCAGACUCCUACGGGAGGCAGCAGUAGGGAAUCUUCGGCAAUGGACGAAAGUCUGACCGGGCAACGCCGCGUGAGUGAAGAAGGUUUUCGGAUCGUAAAACUCUGUUGUUAGAGAAGAACAAGGAUGAGAGUAAAAUGUUCAUCCCUUGACGGUAUCUAACCAGAAAGCCACGGCUAACUACGUGCCAGCAGCCGCCGUAA